AGAACACAAAAAACCAGUGAAACAGUUAAACAAAUGAAUAGUGAAAACACCUAGAACUGUGAAAUUACCCUUACUACUUUUCCCAUUUGAACUUUGUUGUCAUUCAGAAUACAAGACAAAAUAAGAGUUCACUUGCCAAAGGUAAUGUGCAAAAUAAUUGAUUAUUUCGUUUUUGUGAUCGUUAGGACCCAAAAUGGUAAU